rnacentral:rRNA from 1 species
UACGUAGGGGGCGAGCGUUAUCCGGAAUUAUUGGGCGUAAAGGGUGCGUAGGCGGCCUUGUAAGUCAGGUGUGAAAGGUUACGGCUCAACCGUAAUUAGCACUUGAAACUGCAGGGCUUGAGUGCAGGAGAGGAGAGUGGAAUUCCUAGUGUAGCGGUGAAAUGCGUAGAUAUUAGGAGGAACACCAGUGGCGAAGGCGACUCUCUGGACUGUAACUGACGCUGAGGCACGAAAGCGUGGGGAGCGAACAGGAUUAGAUACCCUGCUAGUCCACGCCGUAAACGAUGAGUACUAGGUGUUGGGGGAGACAUCCUUCAGUGCCGCAGUUAACACAUUAAGUACUCCGCCUGGGGAGUACGGUCGCAAGACUGAA